UACAGAGGGUGCGAGCGUUAAUCGGAUUUACUGGGCGUAAAGGGUGCGUAGGCGGGUUUUUAAGUCGGAUGUGAAAUCCCCGAGCUUAACUUGGGAAUUGCAUUCGAUACUGGUAAGCUAGAGUAUGGGAGAGGAUGGUAGAAUUCCAGGUGUAGCGGUGAAAUGCGUAGAGAUCAGGUGGAAUACCGAUGGCGAAGGCAGCCCACUGGCCUUAUACUGACGCUGAGGUACGAAAGCGUGGGUAGCAAACAGG
rnacentral:misc_RNA from 1 species